rnacentral:rRNA from 1 species
AUUGAACGCUGGCGGCAGGCCUAACACAUGCAAGUCGAGCGAGCGGCGGACGGGUGAGUAAUGUAUGGGGACUGCCCGAUAGAGGGGGAUAACUACUGGAAACGGUGGCUAAUACCGCAUACUAUCGGAUAACCCAUAUGGGAUUAGCUAGUAGGUGGGGUAAAGCAUCACCUAGGCUACGAUCACUAGCUGGUCUGAGAGGAUGAUCAGCAUCACGGGAACGGAGACACGGCCCAGACUCCUACGGAGGCAGCAGUGGGGAAUAGUGCACAAUGGGCGCAAGCCUGAUGCAGCCAUGCCGCGUGUGUGAAGAAGUCCUGCGGGUAGUAAAGCACUUUCAGCGAGGAGGCGUUACUCGCAGAAGAAGCACCGGCUAAUUCCGUGCCAGCAGCCGCGGUAAUUC